GGGGACGCGCGGGUUCGACAGGAGAGUUCCGUAGCGGAUUGCAAGCCGAGGGCGCCAUCUUCCUCGUUAAUCCGGUGGCAGUCAUUAACUGACAACCGUGAAUUUGCACUAGCCGCCUAAUACGUGGCUACGUCUGCUCCCAGUUAGUCCCGGAGGCAGGGAUGCAGGCGCCAUAAGUCCGGGAUGCGGUUGGCCCGAUGCCGAUAGGGUUUAGCCUAAGAACAUCGGCUGGCUUCACGAAGAUUCCGUCGGUGGAAGCCCCGUGAAGCGAGUAUUAAACCGCCGAACAAGCUUGUAGCACAUCCGUCUGUGGUGCCUUCUGGACGGGGAGUUCAACUCUCCCCCGUCUCCACCA
rnacentral:tmRNA from 1 species